ACAAAAGAUCACAGUUUGCCAAAAUUUGGCAAAGAUUAAACUCAUCCUGAGAUCAUCACAUUUUACAAAAAUUUGCAAACCGAGAUAAUAUCAACUCAGUUUUUCUUUUCCAUCCCGCCCUGGUAUCCUUCCCAUGCUAUUAGUAUGGUAGGGAUACGAAGCGGGAACCAAAUUUUUGGUGAAGUAAUUCUGAGUCAGUAGUACAUAAAACUCAGUUGUCCAAAAUCCGAAAUUAUGACGCCCUACAAAUUCCUGGUCGUAUUCCUCACCGUACUUUUUCUCCUCACUGAUAACGCCUUAUCGACACCAUAUCCGCGAAACUGUGGAAAAAAUCGGCGAAGAAAUUGUCCCUCUGAAAAUAAGGCGACGACGACGACGACGCCAAAACCGGUGAAGGACGACGAAGGUCCGAAAUUCAUUUUGGCCAAGGUGACCGGCGUCCAGCCGAAUACGAAUUGUCCAAAUGGUCAAGUCUUCUCGUCCCGGAGGGGAACCUGUGUCACAAAUUUUUCCUCCCACCCAAAGGGGACAAUUGGCAAGUAGACGGGAAAUCAUGGGAAAUCAAAUAAAAUUCCAAAAACUUAUUUUAAAAAAUCUGAAAAUAUUCCAACUUUUCUAACGACCUGAUGACGGUCAGACUUUGUGGGUGUGGUGUUCGCUAACUCAUAUAGAUCACUAAAAUUUUAAAAUAUUUUCACAUAUUGUUACACAUUUUGGGAUUUUGAGACACUUAAAUAUUUCCACUAUUAAAAUACCUAAGUAUUUUAAAAAUACGUAGAUCUGUUACAUAUGUUUUUAAAAAAAUACGUUUGCAUUUUGUAAAUAUUAUAUACAAUUCCAUCCAAAAACUGAAAAAAAUUCUGAAAUGUAAGUCUUUAUUUUUCUCCUUCUAUAAAACAACGCAAAACGUACAAUUUUUACAAGUAGGGCGAAAAUCAUGACAGUUUUAAAAAAACUAAAAAAACGUAAAACUUACAAUUUUGGAUUGGAGCAUUAACUUGAAAUAAUAGAGAAUGCAUGCACUUACAAUGUUUUAUGUAAAUCACAAUUUGUAAAUAAAAGCUAUUUCUUACAAAAAUCGGAAAACGUAAUAUUCUAAUAAAUAAUUAGUAGUGGUGUUUUUAUAAGAAAAUUCCAAAACUUUAAAAUAAAUCUGAAAACGUAAAAUGUUUUUUAUAUUAACCAAUCAUUUUAUAAAAGCAUUUUUGAAACUUUUUAAGCAUAAAUGUGACUCUACAUUUAGUUGACUUUAUUAUUUUUCAAUUACCACGAAAAUGUUAAUAUUAUGCGACGCAGCAAAAUUUUUGUAAAUGUUGAACAUUAAUUUAAAAUUGUAGAUUAAGGGACUAGUCCAAUAUAAUUUCGUAGGGAUAAUUAUUUUUUUGAAAUAGAUGUAAAUUCCAAAAAUACGAAAAAUUCUGAAAAUGUAAAAUAUCAAUUUUUAACGUGCCUUCUUAUUUAGAUUUCUUAAAUGUGAUUAAAUUUUUGAAAUUUAUUAUUUC